UGGGGAAUAUUGGACAAUGGGCGAAAGCCUGAUCCAGCCAUGCCGCGUGUGUGAAGAAGGUCUUCGGAUUGUAAAGCACUUUAAGUUGGGAGGAAGGGCAGUAAGCGAAUACCUUACUGUUUUGACGUUACCGACAGAAUAAGCACCGGCUAACUCUGUGCCAGCAGCCGCGGUAAUACAGAGGGUGCAAGCGUUAAUCGGAAUUACUGGGCGUAAAGCGCGCGUAGGUGGUUCGUUAAGUUGAAUGUGAAAGCCCCGGGCUCAACCUGGGAACUGCAUCCAAAACUGGCGAGCUAUAGUAGGGCAGAGGGUGGUGGAAUUUCCUGUGUAGCGGUGAAAUGCGUAGAUAUAGGAAGGAACACCAGUGGCGAAGGCGACCACCUGGGCUCAUACUGACACUGAGGUGCGAAAGCGUGGGGAGCAAACAGG
rnacentral:rRNA from 1 species